rnacentral:rRNA from 1 species
AUUGAACGCUGGCGGCAUGCUUUACACAUGCAAGUCGAACGGCAGCGCGGGCUUCGGCCUGGCGGCGAGUGGCGAACGGGUGAGUAAUGCAUCGGAACGUGCCCAGUAGUGGGGGAUAGCCCGGCGAAAGCCGGAUUAAUACCGCAUACGACCUGAGGGUGAAAGCGGGGGACCGAAAGGCCUCGCGCUAUUGGAGCGGCCGAUGUCGGAUUAGCUAGUUGGUGGGGUAAAGGCUUACCAAGGCGACGAUCCGUAGCUGGUCUGAGAGGACGACCAGCCACACUGGGACUGAGACACGGCCCAGACUCCUACGGGAGGCAGCGGUGGGGAAUUUUGGACAAUGGGGGCAACCCUGAUCCAGCCAUGCCGCGUGCGGGAAGAAGGCCUUCGGGUUGUAAACCGCUUUUGUUCGGGAAGAAAUCCUCUGGGCUAAUACCCCGGGGGAUGACGGUACCGGAAGAAUAAGCACCGGCUAACUACGUG